GAUGAACGCUGGCGGCGUGCCUAAUACAUGCAAGUCGAGCGAACAGACGAGGAGCUUGCUCCUCUGACGUUAGCGGCGGACGGGUGAGUAACACGUGGAUAACCUACCUAUAAGACUGGGAUAACUUCGGGAAACCGGAGCUAAUACCGGAUAAUAUAUUGAACCGCAUGGUUCAAUAGUGAAAGACGGUUUUGCUGUCACUUAUAGAUGGAUCCGCGCCGCAUUAGCUAGUUGGUGAGGUAACGGCUUACCAAGGCAACGAUGCGUAGCCGACCUGAGCGGGUGGACGGCCAGACUGGAACUGAGGAACGGUCCAGACUCCUACGGGAGGCAGCAGUAGGGAAUCUUCCGCAAUGGGCGAAAGCUUGACGGAGCAACGCCGCGUGAGUGAUGAAGGUCUUCGGAUCGUAAAACUCUGUUAUUAGGGAAGAACAAAUGUGUAAGUAACUAUGCACGUCUUGACGGUACCUAAUCAGAAAGCCACGGCUAACUACGUG
rnacentral:rRNA from 1 species